rnacentral:rRNA from 1 species
CCUACGGGUGGCAGCAGUGAGGAAUAUUGGUCAAUGGACGCAAGUCUGAACCAGCCAAGUAGCGUGCAGGAUGACGGCCCUCCGGGUUGUAAACUGCUUUUAGUUGGGAAUAAAAGGGGGCUCGUGAGCCCCGUAUUGUAUGUACCAUCAGAAAAAGGACCGGCUAAUUCCGUGCCAGCAGCCGCGGUAAUACGGAAGGUCCGGGCGUUAUCCGGAUUUAUUGGGUUUAAAGGGUGCGUAGGCGGAAGGUUAAGUCAGCGGUCAAAUGUCGGUGCUCAACACCGGCCUGCCGUUGAAACUGGUCUUCUUGAGUGAGCGAGAAGUAUGCGGAAUGCGUGGUGUAGCGGUGAAAUGCAUAGAUAUCACGCAGAACUCCGAUUGCGAAGGCAGCAUACCGGCGCUCAACUGACGCUGAGGCACGAAAGCGUGGGGAUCGAACAGGAUUAGAUACCCCAGUAGUC